AUUGAACGCUGGCGGCAGGCCUAACACAUGCAAGUCGAGCGAGCGGCGGACGGGUGAGUAAUGUCUGGGAAACUGCCUGAUGGCGGGGGAUCACUACUGGAAACGGUAGCUAAUACCGCAUACCAUCAGAUGUGCCCAGGUGGGAUUAGCUAGUUGGCGGGGUAAUGGCUCACCUAGGCGACGAUCCCUCGCUGGUCUGAGAGGAUAACCGUCAACACGGGACCUGAGACAGGGUCCAGAUUCCUACGGGGGGCGGAGUGGGGGAAUAUUGCACAAUGGGGGCAAGCCGGAGGCGGCCAUGCCGCGUGUAGGAAGAAGGCCUUCGGGUGGUAAGGUACUUUCAGCGGGGAGGCGUUACCGGCAGAGGAAGCACCGGCUAACUCCGUGCCAGCAGCCGCGGUAAUUC
rnacentral:rRNA from 1 species